GCCGGGCACAGUGACACAUGCCUGUAAUCCCAUCAGCUCAGGAGGCUGAGGCAGGAGGAUCAUGAGUUCACCACCCUCAGCAACUCAGUGAGGCCUAAAUAACUCAGUGAAACCCUGUCUCUA
rnacentral:sRNA from 1 species